rnacentral:rRNA from 1 species
GACGAACGCUGGCGGCGUGCUUAACACAUGCAAGUCGAACGGAAAGGCCCUGCUUGCAGGGUACUCGAGUGGCGAACGGGUGAGUAACACGUGGGUGAUCUGCCCUGCACUUCGGGAUAAGCCUGGGAAACUGGGUCUAAUACCGGAUAGGAGCCAUUUUUAGUGUGAUGGUUGGAAAGUUUUUUCGGUGUAGGAUGAGCUCGCGGCCUAUCAGCUUGUUGGUGGGGUAAUGGCCUACCAAGGCGGCGACGGGUAGCCGGCCUGAGAGGGUGGACGGCCAAAUUGGGACUGAGAUACGGCCCAGACUCCUACGGGAGGCAGCAGUGGGGAAUAUUGCACAAUGGGCGCAAGCCUGAUGCAGCGACGCCGCGUGGGGGAUGACGGCCUUCGGGUUGUAAACUCCUUUCGCUAGGGACGAAGCUUUUUGUGACGGUACCUAGAUAAGAAGCACCGGCUAACUACGUG